rnacentral:lncRNA from 1 species
ACAUGGACAAGCAGCUGGCCCAUCCAUGUCUGCAUGCCUUCAGAUCCGCUCCUUCACUCCUCUGUCUAAUCUGUAUCCUGUGGAGGUUGAUGCUCACGGCUGGAACUGAAAAUCAUCCUGAAAUAGGGGCUUCUCAGCAGAAUCCAAGGUGAACAACUGAAGAUUUUAAAUAUCAAAUCAAUGACUUGGUUUGACACGGGCCCACAGAACUUAGAUUCAACCCUGGGA